AACACGUCCGAUAUCAUCCAAGAGAAUGUGGCAGCUGAAGGGGGAGAGGCCAAGAAAGAGGCCAAGGGUGAAGACAUUUAGCCACCCCCCCUGAAGUACAUGGCAUCAUUCAACCUUCUUGGUGAGCUGCAGGAAUGUGCUUCCCAUUGCAGUGCACCAGCUCCAUGUACUGAUUUUGGUGUGAACUUGAUGGGGUUGGAGGAAACUCGACUUGGCCAUCAAGCUCACCACAAUAUAACAUGAAAAGUGAAAAUUGCUGCACACAACAGUCUGUCGUCUGCACCGGGAGGCAAGGCAGCUCAAAGCCCAGGCUGUUUCAAAUCCUGGGCAGUUUUUGCCCAGAGCCAGCAAUUUUUUAGAUCCAAUAGGGAUGGAUUUUUUCUGAGGUCAGGUUCAACAUGCUGCAAGAUGCCAAGAUCUAAGCCUAGUAGGAGAUAUGGGUUACAAGAGAGGAGGUUUGCUCUGGCCUUAUACUUUCAAAGUCCAAAUGCUAAUAGAUUUCUGAGCACAGUAUUUCACUUGUCUUCAGUUUCAACACUUCACUCAUGACUCAGGGGUAUUUCAGUACAUGUUGGCUUUAGCAAACAGACUCUGACAGCCCUGCAGCAAAGAGCACAGGCUUUGUCAAAAGAAGAGAAACUUCGUGGGAUUUGCCAUUAUUUAGUAUUACUCUUGUUACGCCAAGAAUUUUUUUCCAUAUACUUUGCCAAAUAUUGCAAGUAAUGCACCAUUGUUGGGCUUGCUUGUUAUAAAUCAGAUCUUGUUCAAUUAACAAGCUUUGGGUGUCUGCCACUUUCCAGUUGUAAUGCAAGGAAUCAUUUAUCUUCCCUGCUAGAUAUCACAUGUAAUGCACCAUUGUUGGUUUUGCCUGUUAUAAAUCAGAUCUUGUUCAGUUAAAAAGCUUUAGGUGUCUGCCACUUUCCAAUUGUAAUGCAAGGAAUCCCCUGCCAGAUAUUGCAUGUAAUGCACCAUUGUUGGUUUUGCCUAUUAUAAAUCAGAUCUUGUUCAGCUCACAAGCUUUGAAUAUCUACCAUUGUUUAUUUUAGGUGUAAUGCUUGGAAGCAUUUGUUCUCUUCCCUACCCAACAGUAUGCAAUAUUUUAUUGUGGAUUUUGCCUGCUGUUAUAUUUAAUCUUGUUCAGGUAGCAAGCUUUUGGUGUCUGCCUUACCUAAUAUGUCCUGCAGUGACACUUGGCUUGGUUUCAUAAUGUGAAAUACAGCAUGUAAUUUCAUCACACUAAGUGUCUAUCAUCACGUGUCUG